AUUGAACGCUGGCGGCAGGCCUAACACAUGCAAGUCGAACGAGUGGCGGACGGGUGAGUCAUGUCUGGGAAACUGCCUGAUGGAGGGGGAUAACUACUGGAAACGGUAGCUAAUACCGCAUCCCAUCAGAUGUGCCCCGAUGGGAUUCGCUAGUAGGUGGGGUAACGGCUCACCUAGGCGACGAUCCCUAGCUGGUCUGAGAGGAGGACCAGCCACACGGGAACUGAGACACGGUCCAGACGCCUACGGGAGGCAGCAGUGGGGAAUAUUGCACAAUGGGCGCAAGCCUGAUGCAGCCAUGCCGCGUGUAUGAAGAAGGCCUUCGGGUUGGAAAGUACUUGCAGCGGGGAGGCGUUACCCGCAGAAGAAGCACCGGCUAACUCCGUGCCAGCAGCCGCGGUAAUUC
rnacentral:rRNA from 1 species